GCGUAAGUUAUCUACCCUGGCAUCUGGAAUAACUCACCGAAAGGUGUGCUAAUACCGGAUACGUUGAUUUAUCAAGAAAGGUGGCCUCUAUUUAUAAGCUACCGUGCUGGGAUGAGCUUGCGUACCAUUAGCUAGUUGGUAGGGUAAUGGCCUACCAAGGCAACGAUGGUUAGCGGGUCUGAGAGGAUGAUCCGCCACACUGGAACUGGAACACGGACCAGACUCCUACGGGAGGCAGCAGUGAGGAAUAUUGCGCAAUGGGGGAAACCCUGAUGCAGCCAUGCCGCGUGUGUGAAGAAG
rnacentral:rRNA from 1 species